rnacentral:rRNA from 1 species
AACUCUUAGCGGUGGAUCACUCGGCUCGUGCGUUGAUGAAGAACGCAGCUAGCUGCAAGAAUUAAUGUGAAUUGCAGGACACGUUGAUCAUCGACACUUGGAAUGCACUUGUGGCCCCGACCUGUCUGAGCAUCA